GUGCUCGCUUCGGCAGCACAUAGACUAAAAUUGGAACAAUUCAGAGAAGAUUAGCAUGGUCCCUGCACAAGGAUGACACACAAAUUUGUGAAGUGCUCCAUAUUUGU